rnacentral:rRNA from 1 species
UACAGAGGUGGCAAGCGUUGUUCGGAAUUACUGGGCGUAAAGGGCGCGUAGGCGGCCCACUAAGUCAGACGUGAAAUCCCCCGGCUUAACCUGGGAACUGCGUCUGAUACUGGAGGGCUUGAGUAUGGGAGAGGGAUGUAGGAUUCCAGGUGUAGCGGUGAAAUGCGUAGAUAUCUGGAGGAAUACCGGUGGCGAAGGCGGCAUCCUGGACCAUUACUGACGCUGAGGCGCGAAAGCUAGGGGAGCAAACGGG